GCGUGUGUGUGUGUGUGUGUGUGUGUGUGCUCCACGUCUCAUGUCUCAUGGAAACACACACACAC
rnacentral:miRNA from 1 species